GUUCUUAAAAGUUAAAACAUGGCUUUCAAAAUGAAAUUCUUUUCCGAGCGCGGCAAUCCAAAGCGAUAUGUUUAACCCCGUAUAAAGAUAAAAUCCUUGGUUCCGGAACCUCUUUAUCUUCAUCGUCCUCCUCCCUCACUCCUCUUCUCGCCCUCAACCCCUUUGCUUCAUGGUGGAUCGAGGUCUCAAUUCGGACCACUUUGGACAGCCCGUCCGAGUCUGUGACGGUGUCGUUCGACCUUAAUUUGCGGUCGUUAGUUCGCUGGACAACGCUCCCAGAGUUAGCCGUCGCGUUAUGGGAUUCUGCCAAUUACGAUUGGGUUUGGAUAUCAUGGAUUACAGGUUUGUUUUUGGACGCUGAGGUAUCAUUUGCUAUGGGAAUCUGAGAAGAAAGCGAAUGUUUCAUCCUUUUGUGGUUGCGUGUCGGAGUGGUACACAUUGGUAACCAAACCGAUAUAUGCAUACUUCAUAUACUGCUUGCAAUGUCUAAAUGAUUAUCAUUGCAUUUUUUACUAUAUCUUUCCAGACUAAACACAAGGAGAUUUCAAAGAUUUGAAAGUUGCUCUAUAUGUUCUUACACUUCUUCAUGUUGCCUCCAUUUACUAAUCAUCUCAAAACUUAGACACCAAACAGAACCAUUCCCAAUUCAGAAGCAAAACAAGGAAGUUAGAUACCAACUAUAGCUAGCUAGCUAGCUACAACCAUGGAAGAAUCCCCAUAUAGUUCCCGGGGACGAGAUGAACCUGAGUUCAGCUUGAGAGAUUGGGCUGUCAAGGCUAGAGGAAUCAGCCGCGAAAACACGAAUUCCAGAAGGUUCUCAGCAUCCUACAUUAGAAGCUUUAUAGAAGACACAAGGUCUUUCAGAUCAAACAUUACCUUCUCUAGCACUACUUCUUUUCCUGGCUAUGCCUUAAGAGAUGAAAUUGACCCUGCAACGUACUCAUUCACCAUGGCCGUCAAAGAGCUUGAAGUGACAUCUUGGAGAUGAUAAGCUCAAGGACUUCAUCAAUUUUACACUUCACUAUAUUGCUGGCUUGGACAUACCAAUAAAGAGGUUAGUGGAGUGGGGAACCUUUGCUAAAACUUAACCUUAUAACUAUAGGGGUACAUUUAUUGAGUUCCGAAGUGGGAUGAUUAAUGUAUCACCAAUUGGGCAAAACUGUAGCCAAGAGGAAAGAGAUGAAUUUGAAAGAUAUGACAAGGUUCACAAUGUACGCCUGAAAAUGGUUUCUAUCCUUCGUGAAAAGUUUGCUCACUUUAACCUGACAUUUUCCAUUGGAAGACAGAUAAGCUGUGAUAAUGGUGAAGGUCAUUAUUUCAGAGGAAGAUAUAUCAAAGCACAUCAAUUACAACUGUUAUAUGUGAUAAGUUGCAUAAGCUUGUCUAUCUUUCUCUUGGAUUUUGUUGUCAUGGAAGUGCUGAAAUUGUUGUAGGAUUUUAAAUUAGUUUUCAAGGACAUGUACUUGUGAACAUGAUGAAUAAGUGAUAAUGUGGAUCAAUGUAUUUAGUUUAAUACAAUUUCUAUUAUAUAGAAUUUGAUUAGUAUUGGAGUUUCAUGUU